rnacentral:rRNA from 1 species
UACGGAGGGGGCUAGCGUUGUUCGGAAUUACUGGGCGUAAAGCGCACGUAGGCGGCUUUGUAAGUUAGAGGUGAAAGCCCGGAGCUCAACUCCGGAACUGCCUUUAAGACUGCAUCGCUUGAAUCCAGGAGAGGUGAGUGGAAUUCCGAGUGUAGAGGUGAAAUUCGUAGAUAUUCGGAAGAACACCAGUGGCGAAGGCGACUCACUGGACAUGUAUUGACGCUGAGGUGCGAAAGCGUGGGGAGCAAACAGG